rnacentral:rRNA from 1 species
AAUGGGGGAUAACGUAGCGAAAGUUACGCUAAUACCGCAUAUGCCCUGAGGGGGGAAGGUGGGGAUCGCAAGACCUAUCGUUUUCGGAGUGGCCGAUAUCAGAUUAGCUAGUUGGUGGGGUAAAGGCCCACCAAGGCGACGAUCUGUAGCGGGUCUGAGAGGAUGAUCCGCCACACUGGGACUGAGACACGGCCCAGACUCCUACGGGAGGCAGCAGUGGGGAAUUUUGGACAAUGGGGGCAACCCUGAUCCAGCCAUGCCGCGUGAGUGAAGAAGGCCUUCGGGUUGUAAAGCUCUUUCAGCCGGAAAGAAAUCGCGCAGGCUAAUAUCCUGUGUGGAUGACGGUACCGGAAGAAGAAGCACCGGCUAACUACGUGCCAGCAGCCGCGGUAAUACGUAGGGUGCGAGCGUUAAUCGGAAUUACUGGGCGUAAAGCGUGCGCAGGCGGUUUUGUAAGACAGGCGUGAAAUCCCCGGGCUUAACCUGGGAACUGCGUUUGUGACUGCAAGGCUAGAGUGUGGCAGAGGGGGGUAGAAUUCCG